GAUGAACGCUGGCGGCGUGCCUAAUACAUGCAAGUCGAGCGAACAGACGAGGAGCUUGCUCCUCUGACGUUAGCGGCGGACGGGUGAGUAACACGUGGAUAACCCACCUAUAAGACUGGGAUAACUUCGGGAAACCGGAGCUAAUACCGGAUAACAUGUUGAACCGCAUGGUUCAACAGUGAAAGACGGUCUUGCUGUCACUUAUAGAUGGAUCCGCGCCGCAUUAGCUAGUUGGUAAGGUAACGGCUUACCAAGGCAACGAUGCGUAGCCGACCUGAGAGGGUGAUCGGCCACACUGGAACUGAGACACGGUCCAGACUCCUACGGGAGGCAGCAGUAGGGAAUCUUCCGCAAUGGGCGAAAUCCUGACGGAGCAACGCCGCGUGAGUGAAGAAGGUCUUCGGAUCGUAAAACUCUGUUAUUAGGGAAGAACAAAUGUGUAAGUAACUAUGCACGUCUUGACGGUACCUAAUCAGAAAGCCACGGCUAACUACGUG
rnacentral:rRNA from 1 species